UCGACUAAGUUUGAGUUGACUAAAUCUCAGGUUAGUCGACUAAGCUGUGAAAAAUUUGAGAAACGGGGUUUGUCCUGAUGUUUUAAAAGCUUGAAUUUUUAAAUAAUUUUCAUGGGAUAACUCAGUAGCUUCAUGACAUAAAUAAAGAAUGGAAAAUCCUUGUAGCAACACCUCAAUAGGUCCUUAAUUUGUGGAUUUUUUAUGGUUUGACAUCUAGCCAACUUCUUCUUUAAACUAUUCUUUUACCAAACCAUAAGCCGCUAGUUGCUCUCAGUGAUGUUCUGGUUCUUUAACAAAAAUAGAGAGGAU
rnacentral:lncRNA from 1 species